UGGGGAAUAUUGGACAAUGGGCGAAAGCCUGAUCCAGCAAUGCCGCGUGCAGGAUGAAGGCCUUCGGGUUGUAAACUGCUUUUGUACGGAACGAAACGGCUCUGGUUAAUACCUGGGGCUAAUGACGGUACCGUAAGAAUAAGCACCGGCUAACUACGUGCCAGCAGCCGCGGUAAUACGUAGGGUGCGAGCGUUAAUCGGAAUUACUGGGCGUAAAGCGCGCGCAGGCGGUUAUAUAAGACAGAUGUGAAAUCCCCGGGCUCAACCUGGGACCUGCAUUUGUGACUGUAUAGCUAGAGUACGGUAGAGGGGGAUGGAAUUCCGCGUGUAGCAGUGAAAUGCGUAGAUAUGCGGAGGAACACCGAUGGCGAAGGCAAUCCCCUGGACCUGUACUGACGCUCAUGCACGAAAGCGUGGGGAGCAAACA
rnacentral:rRNA from 1 species